AAUGCCGUUCAUUCUCCCUUUUAGAUGGAGCAUGUGGAUAAGGAAGGUUUUGGAUUGGAGUAGCGCUUACUACCUCCUUUCCUUUAGCAACUCUAGAACUUCUUGCUCUUGGCUUUUUCACUUCCUCCCCCAUUACUUCAUCACUCUUAUUUUUCUCAAUUUCCACACUUUCUUUCUUUUCAACUUCACCAUUCUUUUUGUUCUUUUCAACUUCUU
rnacentral:lncRNA from 1 species